rnacentral:rRNA from 1 species
CCUACGGGAGGCAGCAGUGGGGAAUAUUGGGCAAUGGGCGCAAGCCUGACCCAGCAACGCCGCGUGAGGGAAGAAGGCUUUCGGGUUGUAAACUUCUUUUCUUAGGGACGAAGAAAAUGACAGUACCUGACCAAGAAGCCCCGGCUAAUUACGUGCCAGCAGCCGCGGUAUUACGUAGGGGGCAAGGGUUAUCCGGAUUUACUGGGUGUAAAGGGAGCGUAGACGGUUAUGUAAGUCCAGAGGGAAAGCCCGGGGCCCAACCCCGGGACUGCUUUGGAAACUGUUUAACUGGAGUACAGGAGGGGCAAGCGGAAUUCCUGGUGUAGCGGUGAAAUGCGUAGAUAUCAGGAGGAACACCGGCGGCGAAGGCGGCCUGCUGGACUGAAACUGACGUUGAGGCUCGAAAGCGUGGGGAGCAAACAGGAUUAGAUACCCUGGUAGUC